rnacentral:rRNA from 2 species
AACGCUUGGCGGCGUGCCUAAUACAUGCAAGUCGAACGAACUCUGGUAUUGAUUGGUGCUUGCAUCAUGAUUUACAUUUGAGUGAGUGGCGAACUGGUGAGUAACACGUGGGAAACCUGCCCAGAAGCGGGGGAUAACACCUGGAAACAGAUGCUAAUACCGCAUAACAACUUGGACCGCAUGGUCCGAGUUUGAAAGAUGGCUUCGGCUAUCACUUUUGGAUGGUCCCGCGGCGUAUUAGCUAGAUGGUGGGGUAACGGCUCACCAUGGCAAUGAUACGUAGCCGACCUGAGAGGGUAAUCGGCCACAUUGGGACUGAGACACGGCCCAAACUCCUACGGGAGGCAGCAGUAGGGAAUCUUCCACAAUGGACGAAAGUCUGAUGGAGCAACGCCGCGUGAGUGAAGAAGGGUUUCGGCUCGUAAAACUCUGUUGUUAAAGAAGAACAUAUCUGAGAGUAACUGUUCAGGUAUUGACGGUAUUUAACCAGAAAGCCACGGCUAACUACGUGCCAGCAGCCGCGGUAAUACGUAGGUGGCAAGCGUUGUCCGGAUUUAUUGGGCGUAAAGCGAGCGCAGGCGGUUUUUUAAGUCUGAUGUGAAAGCCUUCGGCUCAACCGAAGAAGUGCAUCGGAAACUGGGAAACUUGAGUGCAGAAGAGGACAGUGGAACUCCAUGUGUAGCGGUGAAAUGCGUAGAUAUAUGGAAGAACACCAGUGGCGAAGGCGGCUGUCUGGUCUGUAACUGACGCUGAGGCUCGAAAGUAUGGGUAGCAAACAGGAUUAGAUACCCUGGUAGUCCAUACCGUAAACGAUGAAUGCUAAGUGUUGGAGGGUUUCCGCCCUUCAGUGCUGCAGCUAACGCAUUAAGCAUUCCGCCUGGGGAGUACGGCCGCAAGGCUGAAACUCAAAGGAAUUGACGGGGGCCCGCACAAGCGGUGGAGCAUGUGGUUUAAUUCGAAGCUACGCGAAGAACCUUACCAGGUCUUGACAUACUAUGCAAAUCUAAGAGAUUAGACGUUCCCUUCGGGGACAUGGAUACAGGUGGUGCAUGGUUGUCGUCAGCUCGUGUCGUGAGAUGUUGGGUUAAGUCCCGCAACGAGCGCAACCCUUAUUAUCAGUUGCCAGCAUUAAGUUGGGCACUCUGGUGAGACUGCCGGUGACAAACCGGAGGAAGGUGGGGAUGACGUCAAAUCAUCAUGCCCCUUAUGACCUGGGCUACACACGUGCUACAAUGGAUGGUACAACGAGUUGCGAACUCGCGAGAGUAAGCUAAUCUCUUAAAGCCAUUCUCAGUUCGGAUUGUAGGCUGCAACUCGCCUACAUGAAGUCGGAAUCGCUAGUAAUCGCGGAUCAGCAUGCCGCGGUGAAUACGUUCCCGGGCCUUGUACACACCGCCCGUCACACCAUGAGAGUUUGUAACACCCAAAGUCGGUGGGGUAACCUUUUAGGAACCAGCCGCCUAAGGUGGGACAGAUGAUUAGGG